rnacentral:lncRNA from 1 species
AGAUGAUAAAAUUGGUUUAGUAAUACUCUAUGCUUUGAUAGCUAGAUUAAUUUGUUUAUUUAUCAUGAAGGUAAAUUGUACUCGAGAUAAUCAUAUUUUGUUGUUAUCAUCCAAGAACAUGUAACCCGUUUUUAUCAUGCCAUGAGUAAAUCAUAAUCAUGCAUAUGCACUUUUACGUAUAGAAUACGCUCCGGAAGAAUCUGAUCCUCAGUGGGUUGCUUCCGAGUUUGUGAAUCCUUCGGGUGUUGUUGAGUUGCCGAACUUCCCUUCCGGUCAAGGCAAGCCCCGGACAUUAAACCCUAUCCUUGUAUUU